CUGGGAGGACCAUCUCCUAAGGCUAAAUACUCUCUAGUGACCGAUAGUGAACCAGUACCGUGAGGGAAAGGUGAAAAGCACCCCGGAAGGGGAGUGAAAUAGAACCUGAAACCGUGUGCUUACAAGUAGUCAGAGCCCGUUAAUGGGUGAUGGCGUGCCUUUUGUAGAAUGAACCGGCGAGUUACGAUUUGAUGCAAGGUUAAGCAGUAAAUGUGGAGCCGUAGCGAAAGCGAGUCUGAAUAGGGCGUUUAGUAUUUGGUCGUAGACCCGAAACCAGGUGAUCUACCCUUGGUCAGGUUGAAGUUCAGGUAACACUGAAUGGAGGACCGAACCGACUUACGUUGAAAAGUGAGCGGAUGAACUGAGGGUAGCGGAGAAAUUCCAAUCGAACCUGGAGAUAGCUGGUUCUCUCCGAAAUAGCUUUAGGGCUAGCCUCAAGUGAUGAUUAUUGGAGGUAGAGCACUGUUUGGACGAGGGGCCCCUCUCGGGUUACCGAAUUCAGACAAACUCCGAAUGCCAAUUAAUUUAACUUGGGAGUCAGAACAUGGGUGAUAAGGUCCGUGUUCGAAAGGGAAACAGCCCAGACCACCAGCUAAGGUCCCAAAAUAUAUGUUAAGUGGAAAAGGAUGUGGCGUUGCCCAGACAACUAGGAUGUUGGCUUAGAAGCAGCCAUCAUUUAAAGAGUGCGUAAUAGCUCACUAGUCGAGUGACACUGCGCCGAAAAUGUACCGGGGCUAAACAUAUUACCGAAGCUGUGGAUUGUCCUUUGGACAAUGGUAGGAGAGCGUUCUAAGGGCGUUGAAGCAUGAUCGUAAGGACAUGUGGAGCGCUUAGAAGUGAGAAUGCCGGUGUGAGUAGCGAAAGACGGGUGAGAAUCCCGUCCACCGAUUGACUAAGGUUUCCAGAGGAAGGCUCGUCCGCUCUGGGUUAGUCGGGUCCUAAGCUGAGGCCGACAGGCGUAGGCGAUGGAUAACAGGUUGAUAUUCCUGUACCACCUAUAAUCGUUUUAAUCGAUGGGGGGACGCAGUAGGAUAGGCGAAGCGUGCGAUUGGAUUGCACGUCUAAGCAGUAAGGCUGAGUAUUAGGCAAAUCCGGUACUCGUUAAGGCUGAGCUGUGAUGGGGAGAAGACAUUGUGUCUUCGAGUCGUUGAUUUCACACUGCCGAGAAAAGCCUCUAGAUAGAAAAUAGGUGCCCGUACCGCAAACCGACACAGGUAGUCAAGAUGAGAAUUCUAAGGUGAGCGAGCGAACUCUCGUUAAGGAACUCGGCAAAAUGACCCCGUAACUUCGGGAGAAGGGGUGCUCUUUAGGGUUAACGCCCAGAAGAGCCGCAGUGAAUAGGCCCAAGCGACUGUUUAUCAAAAACACAGGUCUCUGCUAAACCGUAAGGUGAUGUAUAGGGGCUGACGCCUGCCCGGUGCUGGAAGGUUAAGAGGAGUGGUUAGCUUCUGCGAAGCUACGAAUCGAAGCCCCAGUAAACGGCGGCCGUAACUAUAACGGUCCUAAGGUAGCGAAAUUCCUUGUCGGGUAAGUUCCGACCCGCACGAAAGGCGUAACGAUUUGGGCACUGUCUCAACGAGAGACUCGGUGAAAUCAUAGUACCUGUGAAGAUGCAGGUUACCCGCGACAGGACGGAAAGACCCCGUGGAGCUUUACUGUAGCCUGAUAUUGAAAUUCGGCACAGCUUGUACAGGAUAGGUAGGAGCCUUUGAAACGUGAGCGCUAGCUUACGUGGAGGCGCUGGUGGGAUACUACCCUAGCUGUGUUGGCUUUCUAACCCGCACCACUUAUCGUGGUGGGAGACAGUGUCAGGCGGGCAGUUUGACUGGGGCGGUCGCCUCCUAAAAGGUAACGGAGGCGCUCAAAGGUUCCCUCAGAAUGGUUGGAAAUCAUUCAUAGAGUGUAAAGGCAUAAGGGAGCUUGACUGCGAGACCUACAAGUCGAGCAGGGUCGAAAGACGGACUUAGUGAUCCGGUGGUUCCGCAUGGAAGGGCCAUCGCUCAACGGAUAAAAGCUACCCCGGGGAUAACAGGCUUAUCUCCCCCAAGAGUUCACAUCGACGGGGAGGUUUGGCACCUCGAUGUCGGCUCAUCGCAUCCUGGGGCUGUAGUCGGUCCCAAGGGUUGGGCUGUUCGCCCAUUAAAGCGGUACGCGAGCUGGGUUCAGAACGUCGUGAGACAGUUCGGUCCCUAUCCGUCGUGGGCGUAGGAAAUUUGAGAGGAGCUGUCCUUAGUACGAGAGGACCGGGAUGGACAUACCUCUGGUGUACCAGUUGUCGUGCCAACGGCAUAGCUGGGUAGCUAUGUGUGGACGGGAUAAGUGCUGAAAGCAUCUAAGCAUGAAGCCCCCCUCAAGAUGAGAUUUCCCAACUUCGGUUAUAAGAUCCCUCAAAGAUGAUGAGGUUAAUAGGU
rnacentral:rRNA from 1 species